UACGUAGGGUGCGAGCGUUGUCCGGAUUUAUUGGGCGUAAAGGAGCUUGUAGGCGGCUCGUCACGUCGGGUGUGAAACUCGCGGACUCAACCGCGAGCCUGCACCGAUACCGGGCGGGCUAGAGUUCGGCAGGGAGACUGGAAUUCCUGGUGUAGCGGUGGAAUGCGCAGAUAUCAGGAGGAACACCGGUGGCGAAGGCGGGUCUCUGGGCCGAUACUGACGCUGAGAAGCGAAGCGUGGGAGCGAACAGG
rnacentral:rRNA from 1 species